rnacentral:rRNA from 2 species
ACGAACGCUGGCGGCGUGCCUAAUACAUGCAAGUCGAGCGGACUUGUUUGGAGCUUGCUCCAAACAAGUUAGCGGCGGACGGGUGAGUAACACGUGGGCAAUCUGCCCGUAAGACUGGGAUAACUCCGGGAAACCGGGGCUAAUACCGGAUAAUCCCGACUCUCUCCUGAGAGUCGGUUGAAAGAUGGUUUCGGCUAUCACUUACGGAUGAGCCCGCGGCGCAUUAGCUAGUUGGUGAGGUAAUGGCUCACCAAGGCGACGAUGCGUAGCCGACCUGAGAGGGUGAUCGGCCACACUGGGACUGAGACACGGCCCAGACUCCUACGGGAGGCAGCAGUAGGGAAUCUUCCGCAAUGGACGAAAGUCUGACGGAGCAACGCCGCGUGAGUGAUGAAGGUUUUCGGAUCGUAAAACUCUGUUGUUAGGGAAGAACACGUACGAGAGUAACUGCUCGUACCUUGACGGUACCUAACCAGAAAGCCACGGCUAACUACGUGCCAGCAGCCGCGGUAAUACGUAGGUGGCAAGCGUUGUCCGGAAUUAUUGGGCGUAAAGCGCGCGCAGGUGGUUCCUUAAGUCUGAUGUGAAAGCCCCCGGCUC